AUUGAACGCUGGCGGCAUGCCUUACACAUGCAAGUCGAACGGUAACAGGUUAAGCUGACGAGUGGCGAACGGGUGAGUAAUAUAUCGGAACGUGCCCAGUCGUGGGGGAUAACUGCUCGAAAGAGCAGCUAAUACCGCAUACGACCUGAGGGUGAAAGCGGGGGAUCGCAAGACCUCGCGCGAUUGGAGCGGCCGAUAUCAGAUUAGGUAGUUGGUGGGGUAAAAGCCUACCAAGCCAACGAUCUGUAGCUGGUCUGAGAGGACGACCAGCCACACUGGGACUGAGACACGGCCCAGACUCCUACGGGAGGCAGCAGUGGGGAAUUUUGGACAAUGGACGCAAGUCUGAUCCAGCCAUGCCGCGUGCGGGAAGAAGGCCUUCGGGUUGUAAACCGCUUUUGUCAGGGAAGAAACGCUCUGGGUUAAUACCUCGGGGUAAUGACGGUACCUGAAGAAUAAGCACCGGCUAACUACGUGCCAGCCGCCGCGGUAA
rnacentral:rRNA from 1 species